UGGCUAAUAGAACAAUGGUAGCUUAGCGCACUGUUAAUGCGAAAGUUGCAGGUUCAAAUCCUGCUAUGCCAA
rnacentral:tRNA from 1 species